rnacentral:rRNA from 1 species
GACGUAGGGCGCGAGCGUUGUCCGGAUUUAUUGGGCGUAAAGAGCUCGUAGGCGGUUUGUCGCGUCGAAUGUGAAAACCCGGGGCUCAACCCCGGGCCUGCAUUCGAUACGGGCAGACUAGAGUUCGGUAGGGGAGACUGGAAUUCCUGGUGUAGCGGUGAAAUGCGCAGAUAAUCAGGAGGAACACCGGUGGCGAAGGCGGGUCUCUGGGCAGUAACUGACGCUGAGGAGCGAAAGCGUGGGGGAGCGAACAGG